rnacentral:rRNA from 1 species
UACGUAGGGGGCUAGCGUUGUCCGGAUUUAUUGGGCGUAAAGAGCGUGUAGGCGGCCAGGUAGGUCUGGUGUGAAAACUCGAGGCUUAACCUCGAGAUGUCAUCGGAAACCAUCUGGCUAGAGUCCGGAAGAGGAGAGUGGAAUUCCUGGUGUAGCGGUGAAAUGCGCAGAUAUCAGGAAGAACACCGGUGGCGAAGGCGGCAUUCUGGACCGACAUUGACGCUGAGGAGCGAAAGCCAGGGGAGCAAACGGG